UGGACGGUGGUGUUAGCUAAUGCACAUAGAUUCUAUCCUUGUUUGAUUUUCCUCUUUCUGAAUUAAUAUAGAUAAAACUAUUGUUUAUAAAUUGUUGACUUUCAUCCUUGUUCGACUAUCAUCUUGUUUGAGCCUAUAUAGAUAAAACAUAGAUUCUAUUUUUAUCCUUGUUUGACUAUCAUCUUUCUGAGUUUCUUUAGGAGAAUUAUUGUUUAUGCACUGUUGACUUUUCUUUGUUUUUGCAGAAACCGUGAAACCAAUUCCUCAGCAUUUGAUCACGUACAAGGUUUUCGGAAAUCCUGAAGGCCCUCAUUAUGCACAUUAUGACUUAGAUGGAGGGCGGAAAGCUGUCCAUGAAGUGUACCCGUGUAUGACAAAGUGUUUUCUUAAGUUCCUCUCUCAGCAUGACAAAGUGUUUUCUUAAGUUCUAUUAAUCAGACAAGUGGUUGUAAAUGGUCAACCCCUCAUUGAGACACGGUGAAAUCAUCAAAAUGGGAUGGAAAAGUGAGCAGUUGCAAAAUGAACGCUUGAAUAUGAAGAGCGGGCAUGAUUGGAUGGGGGAACGUGGGACAGAUGAAAUGUAUAAUUGCCCAAAGAAACUGACGUGAUACAGCGUCAGUGUGUUAGACCUUCUCCAAACUCUGCAUCCGCACCUUUUCUAGCGCUAUUGCUGUAUCCAUCUCCAACGAACGCCGUUUCUGCCCCUACAGUGAUGCGGAGGUUGCACUUUUGCCGGAUGGAGACUGCAUUUUUGCGGGAGAUGUUGAGCUGCUGUAUCAGGGGAAGAGAAGAGUAAUAAAAGGUAGAAAAUAGGGUAGCUGUUGGAGAUAAAAAAAAUAAAGGAUACUGUAAUAGUAUUAGUGGAUAUUACAAUAGUAUUAUAGGGGAUGAAUUUUUAGAGUAUUUGUUGGAGAUGACGAAACACAUACAGGAAACAAAUGGUUCAUUCUAAUUGCUACCGGAACCUUUUCGAAUUUACCCUAAGGAGUCGGAACCAAUA